rnacentral:rRNA from 1 species
AUGCACUUAGUCUCUAGGGGAUUGGAUGGAUAUACACGUUGGACCAGAUAUGGUGAAGAGGAGGUCAUGGAUGAAGAUACCCAGGGCAGCGAGAUGCCAAACCCCGAUCAGUGUCACAUGGAUGUUGAAUCUAACAUCGGGGCAGAGGCGUCAAGCUACCAAUGGAACACCGGAAAGCCGAAACACCCACUGGAAAACCAAGACGUCCACAAAGAUGACGACGAUCUUGAUAUGCCAGAUUUUGCUGCUAUGAUUGCAGAUUUCGAGUGCCCAGAAAAGGAUAUGAUUGGGUACAAGGAUCUGUCAACCAUUGAUGCGGACUCCAAGAAAGAAUUGUAUCCAGGUUGCAAAAAGAAAUAUUCUAGGUUGAGUGCCACCCUGGUGCUUCUCAGAUUUAAAGCAGCAAAUGGUCUAUCAAACAAGGGCUUCACAGAGAUCUUAGGUAUUUUCAAAGAUAUUCUUCCGGAAGAUAAUGUGCUCCCCAGAAGCACGAAUGAAGCGAAGAAAAUUGUUUGCCCAUUGGAACUUGAAGUACAGAAGAUACACGCUUGUUUGAAUGAUUGUAUAUUGUACUGUGGUGAGUACAAAGAUUAUCAUGCAUGUCCCACACGCAAGCAUGCAUGA